GUGGGUCGUCCGCGAACCGGCCGGCGGGUGAGAGGAAGCGCGGACUACGCUCGUAGACGCUCUGACCGGUGCGGCCGCGGACGCGGGUUCGAUUCCCGCCGCCUCCACUU
rnacentral:tmRNA from 1 species